GAGGCGAAUGGGAAUUUGUUAACGUAUCAAAUGACAAUACACUAUCUGGCGUGAUGAGUAUAUUUCCGUUCCAUGGAUGUAUAAAAUUAUACGUGGAGAAAGAUAGGUUGACGGCACACGACCGUCCAAAUACCGUUUAUCAAACGGAAAUGUGUCGUACCCGCAAUGAUCAAAGAAAUUACGUCAAUCGCGAACGAGGUCGUACAUCAAGGUAUAAAGUAAUGAUCUUUAUAAUCUUUUUCGUGAUUUCUCAAUUAGUUUAGGUGCGCGAAAUUAAUAACUUUGUCUUGUAAGUGUUUCAGAGAGUUUGGAGUUCCAUCUCAGCCAGUUAGUGCAGCAUUGCCAUCUGCUGUGAUGGAUUCGUCUCCGUUGGUUGAUCAAAAUGAGUGGUAGGUGAUUGUAUGAUUUAGUUACGUAAUAAAUCAAUGUGAAUAGUUAAUCUUAUAUAUCUCUCUACAGGUCUACUGCCCCUCCUUAUCAAAGUCCACGACCAUCAUCUUAUGUUCACGGAUGGACGGAUUGGGAAGUCAGAACCACUAUCCCUCCUUAUCAAAAUGAAGGUCCAUCAUGUGGUGUUCAUCAAUGGCCGGCUUGGGAAGUAAGAAAUACUAGCCCUCCCUAUGUAGAUGAAGGUCCAGGAUCAUCUAGUGUUCAUGAAUGGCCGGCUUGGGAAGUAAGAAAUACUAACCCUCCUUAUGUAGAUGAAGGUCCAGGACCAUCUAGUGUUCAUCAAUGGUCGGCUUGGCCAGUAAGAAAUACUAUCCCUCCUUAUCAAAAUGAAGAUCCAUCAUGUACUCAUCGUGAAUGGACCAAUCGGGGAGUGACUACAACUGAUCUAUUGGACGUAAGUAGAAGUGAUGAGGAGAAUGUUAGUGAAACUGAUGAAGAGGAUCAAGGGCGAAUUGAUGCUCAUUCUAGUGAUGACGAGGAGUCCUUUGUUGCGUGUUCUUCGGAUCCUGAUCAUGACGGUGGUUUGAAUGCCCUCGCAUGCGCCAUUCGAGAUGAAGGUGUUGAAUGGAUUGAAAACUCAAAUGCCAACAACGAAGAUGUACCGGACCCGGUGGAAUUCGUGGAAUUUGAAGAUCAACGACAACGGUUUGUCCUGGGUAAUGAAUUAAUUAAUCAAAGCGUUGUUGAUGCAUAUAGUGAAUAAAAUAUUGAUCAGGGUCCUCCAAGUGAUGAAGCAUGGGCUAAUCGGACUUUUUCUGAUAAAUCAUCGCUAGUAAGGGCCUUGGACGCUUGGCACAUUGCACAUAAUGUGCAGCUUAAAGUUGUUAAGUCAAAUACAACUAGAUAUACUGUGCAAUGUGUGGUCGAUUCUUGCCCUUGGAGAUUACAUGCCUCUCAACCAAAAGGUAGUUCAUUUUUUCAAGUAAAGACUUAUAAAGGUCCGCACACUUGUUUGGUUCCAAUUCUAAAUACAAGACAUCGAAACUGCACAUCAUCUUUCAUAUGUCAAUUUAUACUACCUACACUGAAGGCAAGGCUUACAAUGAGUCCGAUGGAAAUUCAAGCUCGAGUUCAGAGCGAGUUACACGUUAGCAUAUCAUAUAGCAAGGCUUGGCGGGCACAGAAUAAAGCACUACAAAUUAUAUACGGUAGUUGGGAGCAAUCAUACUGCGACCUUCCUCGAUACUUCUCUAUAUUGGAAACAACAAAUCCAGGAACUAUUACAAAGAUUGAUUAUAUUAGUGUGGCGAGCAAUACGAGAAUGUUUUCACGAGCCUUUUGGGCUUUUGGACCGUCGAUUCAUGGUUGGGAGUAUUGCCGGCCAUUACUUAGUAUCGAUGCUACUCAUCUGUAUGGGAAAUACGGAGGCCACGCAUUAAUUGCCACAGGUGUCGAUGCGAAUGGUGGUUUAUUUCCGCUAGCUUUCGCAAUUUGUGAGGGGGAGAAUGGCUCAAGUUGGGAGUGGUUUUUAAGUUGCCUAAGAAGGUAUAUAACAAGAUCUCGAGUUAUUACACUAAUUUCAUAUCGUUUUAAAGGCCUAGUGAACCUCGUUGCACUUGUAUUCCCACCAUCUGAAGGUCAUGCUCAUCGAUGGUGUUUGCGACAUAUGAAGGCCAAUAUGAAUAUUCAUUUCAAAGAAAAACACUUACUUAAAAUUUUUUAUCGAAUUGGGAGUGCUUCCGAAGAAUGGCAAUAUUACGCAUUAAAGGAAGAAUUGAAGGCUAUGGAUGAAGAAGCUUGGCGUUGGGUUGACAAUCUUCAUAACGAUAGGACAUACUGGGCUAAAGCUUUUGAUGGUGGUCGACGAUUUGGUAUUAUGACAACUAAUCGAUCGGAAAGUUUAAAUGGGGUGUUGAGGGGAGUUCGCGCCUUACUAAUUACAGCUUUUGUGAUGACAACAUUUCAUCGAGUGGUUGAAUUUUUUCUAAAACAUCGGACAGAAGGCGCUGCAAUGUCCACGCAGUUUGUCACGACUGUUGAAAAAACCAUCAAUAGCCGGAUGAGAAGUGCGAGAGGAUAUACCGUUCAACGAUUUGCAUUUCAUAUGUUCAACAUACUUAUUGGCGGGGAUGAUCAAUACCAAGUGACUAUCAAUGGAAGCAGUUCUACAUGUUCAUGUUUGUGUUUGCAACUCACAGGAAUCCCUUGUUCACAUAUUUUGUCAUGUUGUAGUUCAUCACACAUGAACAUAGAUUAUUAUGGCUUAUGUUCUCCUUGGUAUACUGUCGAAUCAUAUUGUAAGGCUUAUGACCGCAAUUCUACCCCGUACCCGAUCGUCGUUAUUGGAUCGCGUCAUAUGAGUCCCCUAUAGUGCCACCACGCGGGAGAAGAAAAAAGGGACGACCCAGAUCUACGCGUAUCCGUAAUGUUAUGGAUGAAGCCAGUGGGAAUAGGAGGGGCAAGUGUAGUAUGUGUAAACAGCCUGGACAUUAUAAAAGCACUUGUCCUGAAAAUCAGCAAAGAAGAACUGAGAGGCGUCGUCGAUAGGUUUUUCUAUAUGAAUAUGACACUUAACUUCUUUAAUCUUUUAUACUUACGCACUAAUUUUACAUCAUGUUGUAUCUAACUAAGUUUUUUUUUUUUUACAAUUUCAGAUGGAUGAUCAUGACGAGCCGGGACCUAUUGAUACAUCCGUGCUGACUGAGCAGCCAUGACAUAGAUCUGCUUUGAUCAGAGAGGAGGUAAAUUUUUUAAAAAUAUUUUAAAUUUACGUAGAUCUUCUUUAACUUAUGUACUAAUUUACGUGCUGGCAUUCACAAUCAUGCAGGGAUAUUCUCCUGUUCAAUUUACGGAGCAUGGCCGUAAAUUGAACAGAUGGCAGUGCGAGCAUCCUGCGGUGUUGGACUUAUUACGCCGAGCAGGAUUUUAUUACGUUUCACGAUUGCGCCGCCUACAGCUCGAUCAGUCAUUAUUGGGAGCAUUAGUCGAGAGAUGGCGGCGGGAGACACAGAGUUUUCAUUUGCGACAUGGAGAGAUGAGUAUUACUUUGAUGGACGUCGCAGUUAUUACGGGACUCCCCGUCGAUAGUGCGGCAGUGACUGGAGGGGGAUCCUAUCAGUGGGCAGAGCUCUGUGGAUUACUUCUCAGGGUGGUUCCGGAGGAUAUUAGGGGUGGUGAGAUCAAGAUAGAUUGGUUAUAUCAGCAGUUCCAUGAUAUCCCUUUAGACGCACCUGAGGCUAUUGUUAGAGCUACGGCUAGAGUAUAUAUACUAUUUCAGAUAGGAUGUAGCUUGUUUCCAAAUCCAAGCGGGAACAGGGUGCAUUUGAAAUGGCUGCCACAUCUAGAGGAUUUUGACCUUUGUGUUGCAUUAGCAUGGGGUGCAGCCGCGCUAGCACAUCUUUAUCGCGCCCUAGGAAAUGCUUGCAUCAGGGGAAAGGUCGAGUGUUGUUGUUUUGGGACAUUAGUUCAGGUACAAUACUUCUAACAAGAAGACCCUUAUAAUACUUCUAGUUAAGUCAUGGUUUUUGUAAAAUUUCUAACAGGAAUGUUUUUUUUUUUGUAUAGAUAUGGGCAUGGGACCACCUACAUAUUGGCCGCCCUGAGGUAGUAGGCCCGCAGCCUGAGCUUGUCGACAUGCCAUUAGGGUGUCGGUAAGUAUUUUUUCAUUUUAAGUUUUCUAUAUACUAAUUUUUCAUAACUAAUAUGAUAUAAAUGAAACAGGUGGAAUACUAGAUUAGCAUUUCGGGACAAUGUCAGGACUACUGACAUUGAGUUUUAUCGUGAUCAGCUGGAUCAGCAGUUAGAGUCUCAGGUAUAUACAAGUUACUCAAUCUGUCGAAUUUUGUAUUCAAUAAUGUGAUUUAUCAGUAUCUUCCCAUUAGGAACACUUAGUUGCAUGUCAAGUUUUACUCUAGCUGCAUGCCUCAGGCCAAUGUAUAGAACAUACCAAAACCCAAUAAAAAACAUCUCCUUUGCAACAUGAAGAUAUAAAUGGUGUGUAUCCAACAAAUAAAAAGCUAUAACACUAAUAAGUGUGUUCAAGUACACAAACAAACCAUCCCAAUGUAAUGUAAGGAUGAAUGAAUAACGCGUGUAUAGAAGCUAGGCUACUAUACUAUCUAUACUAUAUAUAGAGCUAGGCUACUAUAUAGAAGAAUCUAAAUUUCUUCAAAUUCUGAUAGAAAAUACUUUAAACUAUAUAGAUUAAGAUUAACAUUCUUGAUCUUGAAUUUAAAAGUCCUAUGCUCAAAUUUUAAAGAAUAUUCAAUUUUCACCGUCUAUUUUCACAAAAGAUCAUUAUAUGUAUUUUGAUAGCUAAUCAUAUGUAUUUUUCACAAUAGAUUAUAUGGAGGCCUUAUGACGACGCAGUGUUAGAGACGCUCCCACCUUUUUGUCUGGCGGGGUCCCAGGUUUGGCGAUCGAGGACUACCUUAGUCUGCUUCCACAUUAUUGAGCUCCAUCAUCCCGAUCGUGUGCUUCGCCAGUUUGGACUACUACAACAUAUACCUGAACCUGUGCUUGCCAUACCUCGCAUCAAUUCACGAGGCAGAGCAGAUGAGGAUUGGGCGGCAUACCACGCCUCAUACAUUGAGCGUUGGAAUGAUAGAUUGGUAGAUAUAGCAGAGGUGGCCCCUGAGACAGAUCCAGAUCCGAUACGAGCUACCACUGUUUACAUGCAGUGGUAUUGGACGAUCACCAGGAGGUGGAUAUCUAGACCUGUACAACGGCCACCACUUGCCUAUCAGCCAUGUGGACACGUCGAGAGAGUAUUGGUAUGAUUGUAAUUGCAAAUAUCUUUUUAUAUUAAUUUUUAUAUAUACAAGAAAGUUUCGUAUAAUCUUUUUUGAUUGUGCUUUUAUUUCAGGUUGAUAUCGUGCAGAGAUCACAUUAUACGAUCAGACGUGUCCUACCCGAUAUUUCAGGAGGUGGAGUCUUAGCUACCCUAUCACAGGUCGCCGAUCAGAUGGAGGCAGUUCUGGAGACUUUACCUACGCUUCCACACUAUGUACCUCCAGGAUCAGCAGACUAUGGUGGAGCAUCGACGUCCGGGCAUGCACCCGUAUAUAGUCCACCGAUGCCAUCAUCACCGAUAGGGGAGCCACCUUAUGUUGAUGUUACGGACCCGGCACCAGCACCAGUACCGCAGGAUCCAGCUCGAGCAGGUGAUAUUGUUUAUUUUAGGCGUCGACGGCGAUCGAGGUCUAUCCGUACAGAUCAGCCCUCCUCUUCAGCUCCUCCACGGCCAGAUCAGCCCUCCUCUUCAGCUCCUCCACGGCCAGACAUACUACCGGCACAUGCUACUGCUGUGAUUGAGCCGGUUAUUGAGGGUGCUGCUAUAGAGCAUCUAGACCAGUUGGAGAUCUUGGAGCCUUUUGAUGAGCAUGAUGUUGGUCGUGGUCGCGGACGUGGUAGGCGACGUGGUCGAGGAGGUCGAGGGAGGAGAACAUGAUAUUAUAUUUAUAUAUUAUUGUAUAACUUGCAUUUAUUUUGUAUAUUCUGUUUUGAUUAUUUGGUAUUGAUUAUAUUAUUGAGAUUCUAUUGGUUGUGAUGUUGUAAUGUGUAUUAAUUUUGUGAUGUUGUGAUGUGUAUUACUUUUGUGAUGUUGUGAUGUGUUGUGAUAUGUAUUGAUAGGUAUCUGUAUUGUAUUCUUGUAUUGAAUCUUGUAAUUGAUUUUUCUGCGGCAAAUUAAUUGCUGUGUGUGUGGUAGCAUUGGACACGGUGAACCAUUCACCGUGUCCAAUAUUAAACAUGGACACGGUGAAUGGUUAACCGUGUCCUAUACAAGUAUCUUCACAACCCCGAAAAUGGCUAAGUCCGUGUCCAAUACAACUAGCCAGGCCGUAAUUGGCUAUGGAAGUAAAGGACACGGUAAAUGGUUCACCGUGUCUAAACAUGGUGAUUGGUUCACCGUGUUUAGACACGGUGAACGAAUCACCGUGUCUAAUGCAAUAUAACUCCCCGCCGGUGGUGGGAGUAAUACACUAAACACGGUGAUUAGUUCACCGUGUUUAGACACGGUGAACCAAUCACCGUGUUCAUCUUGACCACCUGGCCCAGCCCCUGCCCGCGUGGCGCUGACGUGGCGCUGGCGUGGCAGAGGCAGGGCCAUUUUUGCAAAUAAAUUUUGGACAGGGCUAUUUUUGCAAAUAAAAUUUGUCAGGGGGCUAUUUGCAAAAAAAGCCCCUAAUUCUUAGUACUAAUUCAACUAAGAGGAGACAUCUCAAAUCAAAGUAUGCUUUAGUUGACGCAUGUCAACUAUGAUUCUUUUUUUUUUCUUACCAAAAGAAAAAUAUGCACUAAAUAACAACAUACCUCCAUACAACGUUUUCAUCUAAACUGUUGCUUCUUCGCUAUGCAAUAGACUUGCCAAGUCCGGACACCCAACCUCAACUCAGGAGAAAAUUAAUCUGGAUAUUCAUUUAAUUCAAAUGGAAUCCGCAUAAUCAAUUUAUGUUUUAGUUGAAAGUCACUAAAAUAGUUCUUUUAACACUAAACAUUAGAUUUUUCAAUGAAAAAAUAAAAUUUUAAAUUAUCAGUUUUAGUCCACUAUCCUAUUUAUUAUUGACAAAUUCACAUCAAGUCACAAUUAAACACCAAAUAAAAGUCAAAAUUUGUAAAACGCAAGGCAUUUACCAAGAUCAUGUGCUUCCCCUUGAUAUCGAUCUUGAGGUUGCCGGAGAUUGUGGGCUCGCCAUUGGACUCAGUUCUCAUGCUAUCGGACUGGACGUGGAAGAAUCCAAAUUAACUGUGUUGACAACACAACCAAUGCAGUAUUGGAAAAAUGUUGGAGUGCUCGGAUUUGGGUAUAAGUCAGGUAUCUCUUAUUCACAUCGCAUAAUAGAUUACGAUUUUCGUUAGGAAAUAAUACUCCUACAUUCACUAAAAAGCAUUACGCUAGCAAACCUGUGUAGAUACCCAGAUUGGAAGAACUUAUUCACGAAAGAUUUAACUAUUUUUUGACAAAUUGGUUUGGAAUCGUGUAAAAUUUUCACUUGCAACAGAAUACAGAAGCUCCAAUGAGACCAACUAUAAAGGGAAAAACUCAAUUGAAAACUUUUCUAGACAAAGAAUGAAAAGAGAGACACAAUUCUUAAAAAGAGAUAUAACUUAGUUCACCAAAGCAAACAGGAGCAGAUGUGAUUUUAAAAGUAUUCUCCAAGUCUUUGAUGAUAGAUAUUGCCAUCCUACUCAAGAAAAAAAAAUAAGGUGCAAAAAAUCAAGAUGAUGCUUACAAUUUGUAUCCUCUUCUAUGGCUUGCAGUUUGAGCCUUUUAUUGAUUUCUCAUGUUGCUGUUUUUUUAAUAUGUUAGCAUUCUCCACUCAACAACCAACAAUCGUUGCGAGUAUUAUAAUGAAUUUUAAAUUCUUUUCUAUUUCAUGAAACCUCGAUAGAAACAUUCAAUAUUGAUCGACAAAUAUGCAACCAAUGAAACCUAAAGGGACGUCCUUAAUGUUUCAAAUAAUCUAGUCAAAAAUAAUUAUCUAGAGACCCAUUAAUUAGAAUGUUUUUUAUUACCACAUUUUAGCAAUUUGAAGCACUAAUGGCACCUGUGGAGGCAUUGAAAUCAUAGUUGGGUUGUCUCCUUUAUCUGCUUAUGAUUCUUUUCCCUCUCUCCAUAACUCGUUGCCUUCCCUUCCCACAGAGGAACCCCGAGGGAUAGAGACCCAUCCUGUAAUAGGCUGAAAUUUGAUUAGAAGCUAAUUGUGAUCAAAGUGGUCAAAAUAAUGCUAAAAUGGAAAUUAAGUAUUUCUAAACUUAAUUAGUGGCUUGAGGACAUCAAGUGACAGGUUUUGGAAAUGUGAGAAUAGAUAAGAAUGGAAUUGGAGUGGCUAAAGACAUCCAAUUGCCAUUGCUACUCUUAUGCUGAAAUUUUAGUUAACUUGGUCAAAAAUGAUCAAGUUAAUGCAAAUUUGAGAAUUAAAUGUUAUCAAAUUAAUUUGGUAGCUUGGGAAGUUCAUUUGGCAUGUUUUGGAAGUGCUCGAAGUGAAUUGGAAGUGGCAGAAACCUCCAAUCACUGCUGCUAUCAAGUAAUGCUGAAAUUCCGAGUUAAUGUUGAUCAAAAUGAUCAACAUGAUGCCAAAUUGGAAAUUAAUUGCUUCCAAAUUAAUUUGACAACUUGUAGAGGUAUAUUAGUGUAAUUUGGAAGUGCUUGAGUGGACUUGAAGUGAGUUGGAUGGGCAUAAUAAGCUUCAAAGUGCUGCUGCAGCUAGUUGUUUAGUGCAGGGACUGAAUCGUAAGCUUCAGGGACUGAAAUGUAAAUAUGAAGGUUGCAAUGUACUUUUGCAAUUCUAAGGGGCUAAGCUGCAUUUUUUCAGUCUUAUCCCUUUACCCCAGUUAAUCUGAAGGUGUACACGUAUUGGGACACCCCUCCACCAGCCUAAUCUUAUUCCUUUUCUCCUCUCUUUCUCUCUCAGCCAAGAAACAACCUAGUGGGCUGUUGGAGCUGAAUUCUUGAUGUUGGCAGCUUGGGGAUUUGUAGGCUGAGGUUGUGAGACCUGAUUCAAGCAGGGAGUUAAUUGGAGAAGCUUCAAAAAUUAAAGUAAGUUAAAUCCUCACCUGAUUUAUAUUGGAGCUAGCUACUUAGAGAAGAGUUAAAGGAAGAACUCUUGCUGUCAGGACUUGAGAGCUGAUUAGGACUGGCAGACUUGGUGUCUUCGGCUUGGUGGAGUGGCCGAGCUGAGAGAGGAUGCUAUUGGAGUUGAAGUAACCUGGCGUAACACUUAAUUAAGGUAAGCAACUUGCCCCUCAGCUGAGAAUUAAUUACAACUACAAAGGGAUUAAGUUUAUAGUAUUAGAAUGCUGAAAUUUCAGAUUUGUGAGCUGAAAUCAAGUUGAUAGAUGUUCUUGGUACUGCCGAAAUGCAGGGAUGGCCUAUUUGAUGCAGUGAGCAAGUUAAUUUAGCAUCAAACUAUAGUAAGUUCCUUCUAUAUUGAAUUACAGUUAAAUUAGUUGCUUUAGAAUGGAUCGAAUUGAGUCUUAUGGUCGAAAAUUUCAGAUUUGGGGCUACCAAGUGGAGUUGAUACCUUGAGUGGGUUCUUGAUGCUUCAAGCUGAAAUUAAUUAGAAGAAGUAUCUAAUUAAGGUAAGUUUGAACUAGUAUUGGACUAUAAUUAAGUUACUUACCUUAACGAAGAGUUAAUAAAGGCUUUAUUGACUGCCAGGAUUAGAGCUUGGUAAACUAGUUGUAGAACGCAGCGGAAGUUUUCGGUUCGUACCUUUUUGCGGAAGCGAUUCAGAUUACAACUCGAUGAGCCCGGAUCGUCGAGGUUGAUUCACAUGUCCUUUGAUCGUCCUUGAUUAAAUCUUCUCACGUUCCAAACUCGCGAUGGAUCGAACUACAAACGAGCGCGAUCGAAAAUCCACCGUGCAAGUCCCUCUAGAAUAAUAGGUCAAUGGAGGAUGUGGUUUCUCGCUAUUAUUUUUUUUUUAUUCUCUCUCUGUUUACGUUCUUUCCGUGUAUUUUUUGUUAUGUGGGAUCGCCCGCAUAUUUAUAAGGAAUUCCAAAAUCCUAAUGGCGUUAGAGAUAAGGCCAAAUCGGUUAUUAAUUGUUAUCCUAAUAUGACUAGGAUUUAUCUCUAACUAACUUUCCAAUUUGAAAGCGAGAUUAAUUCCAAUCCAAUUAGAUAACAUAAUAUCCGUCGGAUCGAACCCGCUUAUGGGCGUACCCGAUUCGAUUUAACCGAAUGCCAACACUAGUAAACCAGAAUUGGAGAGAGAGCUUCCUGCUGUUGGAACUAGUGAGCAGAGAAUCAGCUAAGAGAAAGAACUCUGGAGCAUUGAUACAGCUAGUGAGGUAAAUUGAUGUUUAUUCCUGAAUUAAGUAGUGUGUUAGCUACGUUAAGACUGAUUUUAAGUAGCUAAAGUUGAAGUUAGCAGUUGAACUAAUGCUGAAAACUGGGAAGUUUAAAUGCUGAAUUUCAGCAUUGAAGAUUUUAUGCUGAAGCUGAGAGGGAUGCUUAUUCCUGAGUGGAGUGGGCUGGUAUUGCUUUAAAAGAGUGUGAUCAAAACAAGUAUUUCUUUUAUACUCGUAAUAAGCUGUGGAGGAGAAGGUGGAGUGCUGAAAAUUCAGCGUUAUGUAGGAUUCUGUAUGGUGCAGAAUUCAUUAGAGCUGAAAUAGGCCAAUUGAGUAAUUGAUCUAGAAAACUCAAAUUAGAGAUGAUUAGAACAAAGUUGAAAUUGUUUAACUCUAAUCUUUAAAUGAAAUUGGGGGUAAAUUCACUCUAAUUUCUGUUUAGAAGAGCUGCCAAGAGAACUAAUAGGGAAAUGAAGCAAGAUUUCAGCUUAAUGCUGAAAUCAAUGCGGAAUUGACACUUUAUAUAGCAUUGAAAUGCUAACUUGUAAAAUAUGAGAAUAAGGCUCUAGUUUAAUGUCUUCUGAUCCUUUAUAAUGAUAAUUAAACAUGUCCGAAAGUCUAAAUUGACUUUACGACAGGUCGGCGACGCGUUAAUUAAGAUAGAAGCCAUUUUGGCUCUAUUUGCAUCGAGUCGCGAGAACUAGUUGUCGACGCGUUCCGAGACGUGGAUUCUAAUUGUUGACACCACUACAGGUGGGUGGUGCUAUCCGAAGUCUUUGAAUCACCUUUUAUGUCUAUGAUUAUUCAUUGAGCAUAUUUAUAUUUGUAGUCAUGCAUUAUAGGGUGUUCGGCGUUGUGCAAGUGAAAAUGUAAAUUCCUAUCAACAAAGAGAACUCGUGAACCUUAGAAUGUGGACAUAGAACCCUAUGAAUGCACGGACUAUAACAAUAGUGAACUUGGUGACAUUCUAACUAGAGAAUUGGAUAGCAUUGAGAAAUAAAACAGUGAAACUAGCAAAAAGAGCUAGUUAGAGUUAAAGUGUGACAUUGGCUAUUAUUGAAUCCUCUAAAAGAGGAUCAGAUCUUACUCACAUAGUCUGUUUUUAGCUUGGUGGUGGUCGCUCCCCCCAGGCAGUGCGCUCCGGAGUGGUCACUUGAUGGGCUAAAGUAUUUGCCCUUGGACUAAAGUAUCUGUCCAGCAGACGGUCCCGUCGGGAGGCAGCUUAGGGCCCGCAAGGGAUUGAGUUGGUGAGUUACAGUUAACCAAAUGGUUAGCUAGAUUGAUUGAGUAUUGGUACAUUACAGCAUGCAUGCAUACUUACAGUUUUCAUAUAUCAUUUCUUUCAGCUUGGUACAGGCAUUGUAGUAGUUAUAUGUUAUAGUUGGUUACUAUCUGUUUACUUUUUUUGCUACAUAUGCCUGAAUAGACCUAGUGGGUGAGUCGCGAGGUCGGCGGCCGAACCCACUGGGAACUUUUCUGUAGUUCUCACACCACUAACUAUACAGGUUCCAGUGCGAGCGUUGUGGCCGAGGAUCGCGGCAAGAGCCCUGCAGCCUAGCUAGCAGACACCAGUGUUUAGUGGUAUCCCAUUUUGAGUUCAUGUGAGACAUUUUGAUGUACAGAGACAUGUAAAUGAAUGUAUUAUAAAGCAUGUAAAUAACUAAAUGUUUCAGUUAUUUAGUUAUGUAAAGUUCAGUUUAAAAGUUUUAAAUUACAGUGAAUUUUUAGUAUAGCUAGCUUACUAUCACUUGUGAUUGUUGCUUGCCCUCGUGCAAGCCAUGUAUAUUGAAAUGUUAUCUUGGGAAUUGUUUAUUUCUUUAUACAUAUACUCGUUGUUGUUGAGCCUUGGGCGGACAGAGGAGGUUCUGUCCGUUCGGCGCCUGUGUACGGGCCCGGAUCGACCAAAUUGGUGAUAGCGGGAUAUGACACAUCCAUUGCAAAACCUAGGGGGCAGCAGCAGCAAUGGCUUUCUCAGCCUUUUCUUUUUCUUCUUCUUCCUCCGGCGUCUUCUUCUCCCGUAGAUCUCUACGGUGGCUCCUCGAAUGCAGAGGCGAGAAAGAUCGAUCCUUUUUUCAGUUGUUUUUGUUGUUUUUCUUAGGUUUUCGAUCUCCUAUCGUUGUUUUAGCUCUGAGAUCAAAGGUUGGAGCGAGGGAUUUGGACCUAUCCUGGAGUGGAAACCCCAGAGAUUCCGGCUUCUUGGUGUUUGGAUCGGGAGAGAGGGGGUGGUUGGGGUUCUUGAUCUACGUUGCUUAGAUUCACGCGGCGGAGGGGCCUAGAUGCCCCCUUUGUAGCUGGGAAAUUUGAUGGAUCCUGAACCCUUGCCGUGAGAUCGCAAGGACUUAGUCUCGAAGGAAUGGAAGCAUGAUAGAGGGGUGGGCUCCGAUGCCCUAGGCGGCGGUGGCGCCUCCUCUACGCCUUGGUGGAGAGAGCCCUACCACGGGACUCGCUCCUUCUUCCGCGCUUCCCCUCGCCGGCCUCCGUCAGUUACUAUCGUGGAAACCCCUCUCAGUUCUUAUUCCGAAGAUCCCGCCUCCUGUGGUUGCACCUCGUCUCGACCGGACAAGUAUUGUAUCGAAGAUGAGGGCUUUAGACCCUCUGGAAGUUACGACGGUAGGGGUGGUAGAAACAGGAGCAACGGCGGAGGUGGAGGUGGCGGCAGCAACAGCAGAGAGGGCCCAGAUAUUUUCGGCGAUCUCCUUUCGAGAUUCCUAAUGGCAGUAGAGAGGUAAAAAAGGAAGGUGGGGAAAGAGAAGGAAAUGGAAUAGCCGUUGUGGCGAAAGCAUAGGGAAGUUAAAGCCGAGUGGAAAUACUGCAACGGAAGAGGAAGAAAGAACGGAUGCACGACAUGGAGAGGAGACGUUACUUGCCAUAUAAAGAAAACGGAAAGGAUAGAGAAGCGGUUUGGUUCAGAAAUUAAGAGAGUUUAGUUCAGAGAAGAGAAGCAUCGGGUGAGGAGGAGAUGGGUCGUUCGGUUCAAAGCCACAAUUCGGUAACUAAGAAUUCGUAUAGUUUAAUAGAUUCAAUGGGCGGUUUGGUUUAAAUGCUAAAAGAGUGGUUCGGUCCAAAUAAAAUAAUUUGGUUCAAAAUAAGGCUAUGAGGAUGAAGAAUGAUUUGCCACGUGGCUAAAAUUAUUGUGGCUUCAUAUAGGUUUAUAGAUUGUUGCAUUGAGAACAUAAACUACAUGCAAAGAGAUGUUUGUCAGCAUGUCCACGUAAUAAUAGCUAAACUUUAACUAAAAUAUUUCCCGGGUAAUAUAGUGAUGAACAUCCUAAAAUAAAUAGAGCUUAAAAAAGAAUCCAACUCCACCAAGAUGUUUAGUCCGGCAUCUCUUUUGUUCACUCAAAUAGCAGAGUCAUUGAAGAUUUACGAGUUCAAAAUAUAUCCAUAUGCACAUAGUAUAUUCAUCUAUAUCACUUCGGCAAAGAACUUUUUAAAUCACACAAAAUCCCAUCCCGUAGAGUUUAUCAUCUUAUGACGUGCUCCUAUACCCAAACAAUGAAACAAGCUCUAAAAAUUAUCUGCUUACGAUUUGGACCCAGUAAUCCUAUAUGGAUAAGCACUUUCAGCAACACUUUGCACAAAUCCUUGAAGAAUUGAGAGUAGAAAAGAAACAAGCAUCAAGAGAAAGGGAGUGUGUUUUUUUUCUAAACAAUCUUUCAUAGUAUGGGUUAGUUAAUAGCACAUACAGGUGAAACUAAUGCUGUAAAUGGUUUCUCACCAAUAAGCUACUCAAGAAACAAAUGGAAAUGGACAAAAAAACAAAAAAUUGCCCCUAUUGUACAAAGAAUAUCUUCUUGCUUUACUUCAUUGCAAUAGUAAAUGCAGAGCUGAAGAUGUCUAACCACUGUAACAAUGUCCAGAGAACCAAAUUAGUCUGAGAACUAUUGUUUGUAUAAUAUAGCAGUAAAUAAAUAUAAGAACUUCAGAGAAACCAAACAAAUCACAAAUCACAACAUAAGGAAGAACCAAGAAUUAGCUAAGUGUUUGAAAUCAGAUUCCGCAUUUUUCUGUUCCACUACAGUGUUAAAGAUAAAUUACAAAAAAAAGACCACCUACUUUUAAGACCUUGCCUCUCUAUCCGCAUGAAAAAAAUUGGCAUCAAUCGCAAUAACAUGUUACCACCAUCUCAUAUAGGCCCAAAAGUUUAGGAUGACUAGCGGAUUUGGAUGUAAAACUUCACUAGAACUAGUUCGUAUACUGUGUCAAUUUUAUGUUUGAAUAUUUAUCCAACUUACAACUUAGUGACAAAUCUACAACCAAAUAAUAGAGAUUUUUUUAAAAAAUAGAUUUAUUAUUUGGUCAUUUAUUAGACAAUUUAUUCAAUUUAUGUGGUUUUUGUACACUCAGUAUGAUCAAGACUUUCCAUUAACUCAUUUGCAUUGUGUUUUGCAUUCAACUCAUUCAUAAUUCCAAAAUUUGGGGCUUGUUUUUGACAAUAGUAAACCGGAGGGUUGGAGCAGAUGCAAUUUUGGUUUUGCAGGUAGCUAAUAAGAAAAACGCUGAAGUGCAAGUUUCGUAAUUUGGGCUAGUAGUAAGUAAAAUAUCAUUCACGGUUUAGUGACAAUAAUAGCACAAGAACCUGUGCAGUGGAAGAGUAAGAAACUUCAUACAAACUAAGCAUACUCCAAGUGAAAGCGUAUACUUUGACUUAUUAAUCCUGUUCAGUAAUUAACCUUCAAUUGAAGCAAGACAUUUCGAAAAUAACUUGUCGGACUAUAUGGCUGCAAUUUUUAUUCUUCAGUUGCAGUCCUAUGAAACAGACUAAAUUAACUGGUCCGUAAAGCACAGUUGACCACUCCACUAUCCACCUACAUAUCCAGCAGAAAUAAACAGAGCUCUAAUAAAAACACAACUAGCACAUCUAAUAAAACAAACGACUAGUGAAUGAUAAGUUCUAGGAACCAUUUAGAAAGUUUCAAUCUGUACUAAAAAUUCUCCCUUUCACGUUUCAAUCUGUACUAAAAAUUCUCCCUUUCUCAUUUCUUUACAUGGAUCCCAUAAUGACAAGAGAGCUUUAUGUCAAGGACUUAGAAAAAUUUCAGCCCAUUACAAGUCCCUAUCCCGACCUCGCUAACUGAAAUUGGCAGCCAAAGAGUGUCACACCCCAAUAAUCCCACAUCGGAUAUGAAUGGGGAUGUGAUUGGGUAUAUAAAAGACUUAAACACUAGUAAUAAUAAGGGAAAACUUCAAAUACCCCCCUGUGGUUUCACUUUUUUCACUUUAAUACCCUGUGGUUUAAAAUGUAUCAAGUUAGUACCCUAUGGUUUCUCACGUUAUCACUUUAGUAUCCUGUGGUUUAAAAUGUAUCAAGUUAGUACCCUGUGGUUUUGCACUUUAUCACUUUAGUAUCCUGUGGUUUCGUACUUUAUCACUUUAGUACCCUGUAGUUUAUAAACCACAGGGUACUAACUUGAUACAAAAAUAAAACUAUAGGGUACUAAAGUAAUAAAGUGAAAAACCACAGGAUACUAACUUCAUUUUAAACCACAGGGUACUAAAGUGAUAAAGUGAGAAACCACAAGGUACUAACUUGAUACACUUUAAACUACAAGGUACUAAAAUGAAAAAGUGUGAAACCACGGGGGGGUUUUUGAAGUUUUUCCUAAUAAUAACUAGGCUUAAGCAUUUUGGGCCGGUGUUUGGGCCCAACGAGUUAUUAUUGCCAGUGGGCUAGGUCGUUAUAUUUGGUAUCAGAGUCAGUUCACCAGCCAGAAAUGUGUGGCGAGUAAUAGGCUAUGCCAGAGUCUGAAUGACAAAAUAACCGGCUAUGCCAGGGUCUAGAUGACAAGGCUAGCGAAACGAGUCUCAUAUCGCCUGGUGAUCUUGUGCUGUGUGUGUGAUUGGACUGACGAGAACGUCAGGGCCUUAACGGAGGGAGUCUGUCACACCCCAAUAAUUCCACAUCGAAUAUGAAUGGGGAUGUGAUUGGGUAUAUAAGAGACUUAGACACUAGUAAUAAUAACUGGGCUUAAACAUUUUGGGCCGAUGUUUGGGCCCAACAAAUUAUUAUUGCUAAUGGGCUUGGUCGUUACAAGAAGGUACCAUUCUAGCACCUUGUGUGGGAGACAAAGGGUAACGCAAUUGCAGCAUUAAAGCCUCGAAAAUUGCCAGCAGAUGCCCAAAGGUCACGAGCAACUCUUGGGUUCCCUUUCAUAGUUUUUCUAGCCUGUAGUGUGUUAACGUACGAUGGUCAGUGGGCAGAAUCAAUGUACCAUAUGCCUAUACGUAAGAGGAUUGGCUGAGGCCAAGGCAUAGAGAGAUGCACUUGUAAUUCUAUUUUUCUAAGUAAUAGAGUACUUAGUUUUUUUUUUUUUUUUUUUUUUNUGUUUUUUUGCAGACCCUGUCUCUCUUUUCACUCUUUUGCACUUAGUCGCAGACCAGAGGUCCGGGAUAGCAAACAGAGAGCAAGACUUGCCCAUCUUCGCUGAAGAAGUCGGGGGCCACACGGGCUUAGUGAGCAAAAUUCCUAAGUCCGUGAAAUUAAGCUACUUAAAUAUUUCUCUUCUACAUGACAGAGUUUUAGUCACGAUGAUAUCUCAACAGCACAAAAAGCGUACAUAUGUAAUGCAGUUUCUGAGAUGAAUAGUUUUUUAUCAGAACUGAAAUUGAGAGUCGCUAUUUAGUAACUACAUCAUGAGCAUAAGGCAUACAAAAACCUGGCAGAGAGGCCAGACUGAAAUUUUCAACAGGGUCAUCCUUUCCUAAAAUAAGUGCUUCGUCAACAUGAUUUGAAGAAAUCUUCAAUAUUAUCAUUCUUUUCAUAAGAUCCAGUACUAUAAAAACCCCUAAAACAUCAUCUUGAACAGGCUAGAUUGAAAUUUCUCCUACCAACCGACUAUAAUGGGAGUUUAGAUGACCACAAGGGUGAAACUUCAAAAACUGACGCCCAUUAAAACUUUCAAUAUAGAAGUUACUAUUAUCUAGAUAGUUGUUCAUCCAUAUUCCUUAUUUCUGCAAUAAAAUUGAGGUUUGCCACCAUUGUUAUGUGACCUAAAAUAGAUUGGGUGUUUGGACCCCAGUGAAACAGGCACCUAACCAAUUUGAUUUUAUUUUCAGACUAGAAACAGAUUUGAACAACUAAAAUUCUAUUAAACUAAGACUUGACCGGUUAACUAGUUGGCCUGAAUAGCCUAGCUGCCUAGGUGAAGCAGGCUAUGCACAUGGGCUCCUGUUUUGUCAUAGUCCAAAACCUCACUUAUUGACUAUGUUGCACAGAUACGGAUACGGGGAUACGGAUACGACACGAUACGGAUACGGCGAUACGGCAAUUUCUAAAACUUCUAGGAUACGAUACGCGGAAUAUACUUGAAUAAAAUAUUAUUUUAAAUAUAUUUAAAUAUAUGUUGAUUAUAUGUAAUAAUAUAUUGAGAACAAUCAGGAUAUCUGGACUAUAUUAAGGAAUAUAUUCUAAUAUGCAUUAACUUGUAUAAUUGUUCUACAUAUGUUCAUAAAAAAAGAUAAUCAAUCAUAUAAAAUAAUAACUCAAAAAGUAUCAAACCAACUAUCAUCCAACUUGAUCAAAUGAUAAUAAUAGAUAUGUAGUCGCAUAAACUAGAUAAUUAGCCAUUCAAUAUAUAUGUAUGUUUUGUUAGUUCUAUUAUUAAAUUAGUAAUAAAAAAAUAUGCUAACAAUUUAAUAGAAAAGGAAAAAAAUAAUAUUUUCUAUAGCCUUUGUUGCUUAAUGCUAGGUUGACAAAUUAGAUGAAAGAGAGUAAAUACUGUGUGAAGAUAGAACGAGAGGGAGAGCCUUCUACCAUUCAAUAGCAAAAAGCGCCUUCUACCAUUCAAGAGGAAAAAGAUAGAUGAAAUGACAAAUUGAACAGAGAUUGACGUUUUUCUCACUCUUUUCCUUCUUUCCAAUAAGUUUGGACGUAAGCUUUUAAAAAAAUUUUAAGUUUCGAUCAUUUUAGACCAAAAAAGAAGCUAGCCGUGUCCCCCCCGUAUCCCCCCGUAUCCCUCACGUAUCCGAGCGGUAUCCGAGCCGUAUCCGAUAUUUUUUAAUUUUUUAAAAUUGCCGGAUACUUCAUUCCCGUAUCGGACACGUAUCGGGCGCGUAUCGGGCGCGUAUCGGUAUCCGAUACGUAUCCGAUACGGGUACGGCAUGAAAUUCGAAGUAUCCAUGCUUCAUAGCUUAUUGAAGUUCAAAAGAUCAAAAGAAAAGGAAAAACUUCAAUUUAGUUAGAUUUAAUACCUAAUCCUCUAGUAGAAAAGCAAGCAACCAAGAAAUUAACUAUCUGGUGCAUCAAAGCCUAUCUAGCAAGUCAUACUGUACUCACGACUUAUAAGCAUGUACCGUACCUCGAUGCUGGUAGGCAUGUCGAGUGAGACAUUUUGAUAUGCCAAGCAUAUUGUACACCGUGCCAAUAACAUGACAUACAAUUUUUUCCCUAUUUCCUUCUCCAAAUCUCUCUCGCUCUCUCUCUCUCUCUCUCUCUCUCUCUACAAGAGCAGAAGAAAUAGGAGUAAGUUAUCUCUCUCUCCUGCUCCCUCUUCUUCUUUGAAAAUUAUAAAAUAUGAAUUUUCCAUUAGUUUCCUUUGGAAAAAAAUAUAUCACAAAGAAUGAAAGAGUAAGUAGAUCCGCUUGAUACACUCAUCAAAUUAUACCCCCAUCACAGUACAAAUUAUACAGACCUCAUUAUUGUUGUAUUUACUUAUUAACUUCAUAUGUAUUGCAUUACAAAUGUAGAUUUGUGGGUAUUAAAAGUAUACAGCCAACUGCAGCCAAUGGGUCAAAAGAAACAAUGAAUAGAAACCCAUACCAAAGAAACGACCAUAAAAGACUUCUUUUGAUCAAAAAAGGCCAAAUAAACCUGUGCCAAAGUGUGCCCGUGUGUGUCAAUUGGUGGUUUGCAUGCCUAUCAGCACACAUCAGUGCCAACACUCAGCACCGCGUUGAGCCCGUGGUCGUGACAAUAAGGACUCAGCAUGCGCCCUUACCUCUGCACUUCAGUCCUUCGAACUAAACAUCAAGCCAUCAACUCAUGUCUCUCAAAUUAGAAGUAGUUCUUAAUUUAAGUUCAGGGUCCUAAAUAUUCUAAUGAUCUUUGAUAAAAAUAAAAUAAAUUAUGUAGAUUAGACAUUAUCUUACUUAUUUCCAGCUAUUAAUCUGUUAUUUAUAUGUUCCUCUAUUUGNAAGUACUCGACUGUAACUCCCAGCAUCAGAUUGAACUAACAAUGAAAGUGUUUCUAAUGAUAUAAAAUAUACUUACGAUCAAAGUGUUUCCACUAACCGUUAGAUUGAACCUGCUGGAGUCAACCAACCAGAAUAACACGCAGGAAAUUUAUUUUAAAAUUUUUGUUUCUUACGUUGCCCGGGCAUGAAUAUCAACUUAUUUUCUGAGAAACCAAACUACAUAAGAACAACAACGAGCAUAUAUAUAUACAUGAUCUUUUGAGGAAAAAGAUGUGGAUCCAAAAACUAAUCGCAAGAUCCUGUAGCUAGCCGUCUCAUAUAUCUACCUAAAAACAUGACCGAUCACCAGAAAUCUGGGAAUAACAUUUUAGUUUCCUGAAAAGGUUCUACAAUUCUAUAUCCCCGAUUCCCCGUUACGACCAGUAUUAAAUAAUGCAAAGCAGAGUUUCGUAAUAGCUUCUUAGUUUCUAGAUACUGACAUAGAUUACGACCUAGACAUGAGAUCAGAUCUGAAAAGAACAUAUGAAAUCAUUAGAAAAUGGGUGAGAAAAGCGAAAAUUGGCUAAAACAGCUCCUGCCCCGUAGAUUACUUAACACGAUCUCACAACACUAAAGAAAACGCUGGAUCAAAACCGAACGAAUCAAAUAUUAAGUAGAAAAAAAGCGUCUUCAAAUAUAAUCCUCUGAUUCCAACAAAAAAUACACAAAAUGUGAGCUAAAACAUAGAUCUAAAACCCUAAAAAGAAAAAAAAAAGAUCCAGGAUCGUGGGAAGCUCACCUCUAUCGAGUCACCACCACCUCAGAUCUCGAAGCCAAAGAGAGAGAGGUUAGGAUACAAAAACGAAACCCUCGAAUGGAGAUAUAAAGGAAGAGAGAAUAGAGAGGGAGAGAGAGACAGGGAACAAAUGGGGUAGCCUCGUUCUUUCUUUCGCUUUUGAUUUUUUUUUAAAAUUUUUUUUGAUACCUUCUUCGUAAAUUUUCCCAAAUCUGGAAUUGCCAUAAAUGCUGCUGUGCUUCUCUCCAUAGUCUACUUGCCCUCCUUUCAAAUAAUAGAACAAGUCACGUGCCCUGAAAAAUAAAUUCCUCAAAUCCCAUCUUUUAUCAAUAACCAAACACAAACGCGAAUUCUCUCAACUACAAAUGAUUUUGAAAUAGACCACUCAAACUGUUUCUUCUAUUUCUAUCAAAUAAAAUUGGAAAUUUUGCUAAACCUGACAUUGAUCUGAACACAUUUUUAGCCGACGAAACUGCAGAAUUCAUCAUAGUUAACGGCUAAUAGCUGACAAAAUCGUUAGUUUUUAAUGAAUUUUUCCACAUCAAUUUAGAAAAGUAACUCAAAUCAAAACGAUAAAAAGUUGACGACACAACCAAUAACAAAAUCAAAAUGAUGAAGAGUUUUUAUUCCAAGUAAGAAUUAUUCGUAUCAACCUAUCAUGAACGCUGGUCAAAGACCCCAAAUCCGGCACGAGAACGCGAUGGUCCUUCUUCUCCGCUCCAGCGAAGUACGAGAGCCCUCUGAGCCUCUGUAACCAAUCAAUCAAACAAAAUAAAAUUACAAUAAAUAAAUAAAUAAAUAAAUUUGGCCCCCUAAACUUCUUUUUUUAUUCGAUUUGCACUUCUCUACUUACUAACCGCUUGAUUUAGCUCCUUCCGUUAGCAAUUUUUGUAAUUUUGUUAGAACACGAAAGAUGCACGUGGCAGUUUCAAUUGUUAACAAAAGUAGCUACAUCAAAUGGCUAGUAAGCAGUGAAAAUGUUUAGGUGGUGCCUACACAUUUUAACAAAGAAAGAAAAAAAAAACUAUAUGAAAAUUACCUGAACUAUACACUAUUUUGAGUCGGCUAUUCAAUCUUUCAAAAUUUUAAUUUUACUAUCCAACCUUUCAAUUUGUUUGAUCUGAAUCAAUGAACGACACUUCAUCUUCAAAAUUUAAAUGCGUUGUUUAUCUUUACAAGUUUAAUUGGUAUCCUUCCCGUAAUUCUCGCAACUGUAAAUUUUAUUAAAAGUAAGAAACUAGCUUAAAUUCUAAAGUUCGGACAAAUUAAAAGGUUCAGCAGUAAAAUUAAAAUUUUGAACGUUUGGAUAGCAAAUUCAAAAUAGUUCAUAGUUCAAAACCUAAGUUCUGUACAUAAAAAAAAAGAAAAAGAAAAAGAAAAAUCCCCCACAAUUUUUUUUUUUCGCAUAGACAUUUCAUCAAACACCUAACAGGCGAAAACAUACACCCAACUCAAUCCAUCCACCCCUCGAUCAUUUAUCUUUACAAGUUUAGUCCCUAUAAUUCGCCAUGUAUAAAUUGAUCAUUUAAAUUUGAAAAUUCUACCAAAUUGAAAGGUCGGAUAGUAAAAUCUACAUUUUGAAAGGUCAGGCAAAAGCCGAUUCAGAAUAGUAGCAUAGUUGAGGUUAAGCUCCGAAGGAAAUAUUUCACACGGGCAUUUCACCGAACACUUAGCGGGCGAAAAUAAAAAAAAAAAUCAUAAUAAAAAAAAGAUACCCCUUUGCCGAAGCCGAAGAUGCCGUGGACGAGGACGAUCGGCGGCUGCGGCGAGUGGGCGAGGACGACAGUCUUCCCCCCCUUCCCCUCCUGCUCGGCGGUGGCGAAGUUGAAGGUGGACGGCCGGAAGCAGUCGGCGGCCGCCUGCGAGAGGUCGGAGGCGACGGCGAUGCUCAGGAUGUAGAGCCCGAACAGCAGGUGCAUCGCCGCGCUUUUGACCGCCGCCGUGCUCGUGGUGUGCUGCGGCAUGGAGUGGCGAGGCUCCGCAGCGGCUCCCGUCCCCUCUGAUCCCGCGUGGUGAUCGCCGGAGAUCUCUCCGGCGGCGAUCGCCGGAGAUCUCGGCAGGAAGAAGAACUGGAUACGAAUGGGAAGGGUUUGGGAAAAAAAAAAUGUCGCCGUAUGCUAACGGAAUUAGGUGAGGGUUUGGAACUUAAAAUAUAAUGUGGAAAUACGAAUAAAUAAGAAUGGUAUUGAUAUUUUAAGAAGCAUUAGUUGUGGUAUAGUGGUUGAGAGGGAUUAAAUUAAUGUAAAGGUUGCGGGUUCAAGCCCCAGUCUCUUAUUUUUUGUGACAGUUUUUUUUCUAUUUUGUAACUAAAAACUUUUUUGGUGACAUACGAAAUUUAAAUCCGUAACAAAUGCACUACUUUUUUGUAGUGAGAAAACCAGAAAACAGGGGCGUGAGAACUAUUAAGAAUAGUUCCCAGUGGGCAAUUACUGACUUCAGUGAGUGCACCGCAAGGCCCAAAGCUACAAUAGAUGUCAGUGACUAUAAAUGUAGGAAAAUGAAGGGCAAGUAAAAAAAUGUAACUUACUACAACAUGAUAUCUCUGCUUAGUAUAAAUAGCAUAAGUAUGAAGUCAACUAUGCAUACAAUACAAGUCUCCAACUAUCAUAAUAUCCACAAUGCGAAAUAGUAAAGUUUUGUUGUUUACUAUUCUAGUCAAUGUCCAAGUAGUACACUAAGUCAUCAUGUCAUAAUGAAUACUCAAGUCAAAUCUGAAGAGACCCACCCGAAGGCUGUCUAUGGCCCUGAGACCCACCCGUAGGCUGUCUGGCCGGUGCCGAGCCUAAUGGCCCCGUGGUAGUCAUCAUCCCCACCCUAGGAAUGAGCCUGGCCCACGGCAAUCCACUUCGGCGCCCAAUCCCGCACGGCGAAUAUGUAUCGCGAUGGCCAUCUCCGGAGUGCCGGCUUGUAGGGAGCGACCCUCACAAGCAUGUGCGAAUGAGCACAAUGGCAAGUAAUCAAACGAUCAGUCGCAAGUACCAAAUUCUCAUGUUCAGUAACAUGGUAUAUAGCAAAUGUCCUCGUGGCCAAGUCACUAUUUCAUCAUAUCUCAAAUAUGGAAUAUAGUUGAUGUCAAUGUGGCCUAUUAUCAAGUCUCUAUGUUGCAGUUUAAUAAUUCUCUAGUCCAAGUGCCUCUUUAUGACACUAUGGCUCAUUUUGUCCCAACAUGGAUACUAAGUUCAAGAACUUAUAAUUUCUAGUCAAAAUCGAAGCAUGAAACUUUAUUUCCUAUCAUCUCAUAGAAUAUUCGUCGCAUGCAUAUUAACAAAGCACAUUUGUCUCUCUACUAUAUAGAGUAACUUUCUUGAUGCAUAACAUAUGAGUUCCAAGCAUUCAAAAUUCCCAUAAAUGCUACUAAACAUGAAUAUGCAUGAAUUUGAAGAGAAUGAAAGCAUUUAACCACUUAGGAGGAAUUUCCUCCGAUUUCAAGGAAGCCAAACCCACCGUCGUCAACGAAGGCUCUCGUUUGUCACGACGAAGGCGUCCACCACACUCCUAGUACCCUAAAGGUACGAGAACAAGUGUCAUCUAGUCGAAACGAACGACGCUAAGUUCAAUCAUUAAGCAUAUAGGGCUAGGGUUGACGAAAAACUCACCGAUUGCGAAGGAAGCUCUCACAAUCUCCAAAUGGGAGCUAGAGUCCUUCCAAUCUAACCUAAACAAAGGUUCUAAACCCAUCAAUUUGGUACAAAAGCCCUCAAAACGAAAAUCCCCAAAUUUAACCCUAAAAUCCAAAAUCUAGGGUUUGAUCUAGUAAAAUCCAACAAAAACUAGAUCUAGAGGAAAGGAUCUAGUUACUAACCUCUUAGAAGCUCCAAACUAGGCCCCAAUCCAAAUGGGGUUGAAGAUUCUCCCUCCACAAAGCUCCAAUCCCGAGCUCAAGGCUUCUCUCAUGGAGGAAACCCAAUAAGAAGCAAGAAAAGCAAGGAGGAGAAGAUCAAAACCCAACAAAAUCCAUCAAAAAUGGGAGAGAACUCAAGAGAGGGAGUUCUUACCUUGUCUCCUCAGGUUUAGGGCUCAAAGGAGCUCUCAAAGGGGCUGGGGUUGUUUAUAAAGGGGUUGCAACAAUUGCAAAAACACCCCCCACGAAACUGCCCAGAUUCUGCAUUGUGUACCGGUACACGGGAAAGUGUACCGGUACACCUUCUGCGAAACUGCCCAACCCGAGCCUCGGGUUGGCAGAAAAACUAUUGUGUACCGGUACAACCAUCAAGGCGUACCGGUACAAAUUCUAUACCGGUACAACCAUCAAGGCUGUACCGGUACACAGCCUGGCUGAGGCUAAUCCGAGAGCUAACCAAAAAUUCAACUUUUUGGAUUUUGGUACACUGUUUCAAACCACAAUUCUCGGGACUCGAACCAUAGGUCGGAACACUGUCUACGACCCUUCAGACAGUCUGAGAUGGCUCGUCACGCAGAUCAAACACUCAAACCUCGCAAUUUGCAAAGGUCCAGUGCGUCACAAUUUUCAAGCCGAUCUCAAGCUAGCUCCGUUUCGCUUGUGUUCGGCACAUUGACAAUUGAGCCAAACACAGGCCGGCUCGAAUUAUUUUCGAGCUGGUCUCGAGCUGGCCCGAGCUUGCUCAUGUUCUGCUCGUUGACAACCCUCCAUAUAUCUUUAACAAAUGAGAAUGCAAAUUCAUAAAUUUACUCCAGAUGUGAACAUAAAAUGAAAAGUCAGGAAAAUCAGUUUGUGUAAGAAACAGAAAGAUUCAUAAAUCAGGUGUAGCGUCAAUGAAUUAAGCAUGAUACUGUUAAUCUGUAUAAAAUGAUUCAACCAUCCUAAGAAGCCAGAUAAGCUUGCAAUUAAGAAGGUAACUGAAAAUGGAAAGUAUAACUUUCAGUUAUACUUUUGUCUUGUAAGAGAACAUGGAAACAGGCUUGUUUCGUCGAAGCAUGAUCCAGUGAUUCAACAAAUAUUAAACAAUGACUUGUAAAGAAAAAUUGUAUAACUUAUCACAAAUUGGCAUUGAUCUCAAGAUAUACGAAGUGUAAGUGCAACCUAGUAAUUGAACUCUGAUGUCUUGGUGCUGUCGGCAAAUGAUGGACACAACCUGUAACUAGAGCUGAAACGUGGAAAAAUUCUGGCCAGGUCAUUGUGCUAAACCUUUCAUACUAAGUGCAAAGUAUCUCUAACAGUAACAUCUAGACCAUGGAAUGCCUAUCCUCUCUCUGUAUGUGCGCAAACAUAUAUGAUAAAAAAGGAUUAGUUACCUAACUAAAUACUCUUGACUAAAGGUCCAAACAGUACCAUGUAUGCAAAGCUCAUCUUUUGCGACCAUCCAAAAACAUAAAAGAAUUGUCUAACCUGUAUUACUGUCAUACACACAUCUGAUGACGCUAGAUUACACUAUUUGUCCUCAAACUCUUGUUUGUAUUUCAAGGUGGUCCCUAAUCCUCAAUUUAUUGCAUCAGGGGUUCAAGCUAUCAAAUUAUUCCAAUCCUAGUCCUGCUUUCAGUUUCCAUUGUUCAGAGAGAGGGAAAUCUAAUGCACCAUGCCACAGUGGCAACUCACUAUUUCUAAGCCCAUUCAUUCUGAGCAAGCAUGAAAACUCCUACCAUAGAACACUUAAAAAUUGCAGGUUACGUGUCUAUUAAUUAACUGCAAGCCAGCAAGCAAAUUAAUAGGCAAAGUAGGGUUUCUCUAGCAGGAAUUUCCCUACUUUAGUCAUAAUUGAUGGUUGUAGAAACAAUGACUCUGCACACCAGAUUUUUGUCUAUCUGGUAAAUGAAAGCUGAUAGAAGAACAAGGAUUGGAAAAUAGGCUUCCUAGUGCAAUGUUUAUGGACUAACGUACAAUUUACCUUCUUAGUUGCAUAAUUAGAAGUCUUGACAGUCUUUGUAUAAUGUCUUCUUCAAUCCUAGGAGCAAAAUUGUGAAGUCCUUCACAAACCUUUGAAUACCAAGAUUUCAGAAACCAUAUUUUUGUAGUCUGGAAUUUUACAACAGCGCACCAGUAGGUUCUUUUCAAAUUUGUGGCUGCAUUAGAAUCUGUGCUUGUUUAGUUCUGCUUAUCUGAAUCUAUGCUUGUUUAGUUCUGCUCAGAUAACCCAAAAAAAGGUGUUUGGCAUUUAUGCAAUACUUAAGGAAGCGCAAAAAAAUGCGUUCUUCAUCCCAACCACAAAAGCUCCAUUGUUCGAUCGCCUGUAAUAUAGGCAAAGGCCGAACGCACAAAUCAUAGUUAUUGAACACAUUAAAAUGAUGAGAAUGCCCAUAUACAAAGAGUAUACUUCAUGUCUGCCUAAUUUAAAUUUGUCCAAACUAUACAUUCUUUCUCUUCUGUCGUGAAAAAUGCAAACUCUCUCUCUCUCUCUCUCUCUCUCUCUCUCUCGCAUGCGCAUACAAGAGGAGACCCUCCACCUGCUUGGUCGUAGGGGACCAUCACCUCUGCAAGCAGGAGAACGUAGGCCCUUCUUAUCUGCGAGCACAAGAAGAUGAGAAGGCUCCUACGUAAGCAGCAGGAGAUCCUCCUCCUAUGCCAGAAGGAAAACCUCCUACAGAAGACAGAGGGGUUUCCUCUCCUAAGGUUCACAGAGGAACGGCGCCUCUCCUCCACCUUUAUAAACAAAAGAGGAGAAGCUUUACCUUCCCCUUCUUAAUGCCAAGCAGAGGGACCCUUGCCGUAAAGGCUAAGGAGGAGCGCCCAUCCUCCUUAGCAUGGAGAAGCUUGCUCUCCUGCAUGAAAAAGGAAAUUCUCCAUUCCGCGCUUGCAAGAGGACUUCCACCUCUGUAAGAAGCAAAGUGUAAGGUACAGAACUUCUUAAAUUAUGAAAACUGGAGGAUAAGUCAGAAUUCUUUUUAUAAGGCUAGAUUUAAAGUUUCAUAUCAUUCUGACACCCGAGAGGUGGAAAAUAAAAUCCGACAGUUAUCUGAUAAAGAUUAGAGUUCGGUAGAGCUUCCGGUGACCAAACGGGGUCGAAACUAAAAGAUUAAAAUUUCUUUCAGUAAGUUAAGUAAAACCGAGCAUGACUGCCAAAUUUGAGCUCAAGCGGACGUUCAGAAGGGCAGACGAAAAAUAUCUGUAUCGUGCUGCUAAACUGAAUGUGAAUAGUGUUCUUGGAUAACUUGGAGGUCAAGUUUCCUAUGAAACUUGGGAUAACUUGGAGGUCAAGUUUCCUAUGAAACUUGGAGGUCAAGUUUCCUAUAUACAUAUAUAUAUGAAGGAUUGAACCUUUUCUCUCAUUCCCUCACACUUGCAACCAAAGAGAAAGAUCUCUCUCUCUCUCUAGCAAUUUCUCCACCAAAGAGAGGAAUUGGAGGUGGAUUUGGAGAAGAAAAAGCCUGCUUAGAGGUGAAGCUUUCUUUUUCUUCACCAUUGGCUUGAAGAGAGCUUGGGUUUGAGAGGUUCGGCGAUACGACGAGGCUACGUGAAGAUAUUAAAGAACGAAGCCGUUAAGGUACAGAUUGCCGCAGCUCGCGGCGAAAGCUUCCAAAAAUCACGAAAUCGGAACCCUAACCUCGUGAUAGCGAUAAAAGGUGGGGCGUGUCAUCCCGAAACAUCCGGGUUUCUUUUUAUGUCUAAGUUAAUUAUAUUGAUCAUAUUGUGCUAUAGGAAUAGUAGUUGUACAUUUCCAUUUCCUUGCAUGCUUUCUUGGUAGUGUAGCGGGGUGAGCUUGACACGUGGACUAGGAUAGUAUGAGGAUUGGGUCUUGUGACAUAGAAUCCUAUAGUGGCAAAAGUGAUGAACUUGGACAUAGCCUAGUAGAGGGGCAUUUAAUUAGUGUGGUAGAAACACUAAACUUGAACGAGUGGCAUGUCAACUAGUAGAAAACUUACUACAAUGAUCAAACGAGUGGCAUUGAGUCUAGUAUAGUAAACUUGACAUGAACCCAGGGAUAGUAGAGGUCCCAACAUUGAUUAUAUAUCAUGAUUGUGCAGUAGAGGCACAUUGACCCUAGUAGACAGGGUAUCCUCUUGAGAGGAUUGGAUCAUACUCACUAGUCUGUUUUCGCUUGUCGGUGGUCGCUCCACCGAGGCACGAGUCUCCGGAGUACUUCACUAGGGGCAGACGUAGUUGUCCCGCAGACGGUCUCGGUGUGCGAGUACAGUUUCUCCUCACCUAUGAGAUUGAGAGUGAGUCGAGGGUUAACCUACGGGUUAACCAAGUAGAUUGGGUAAUAAACAUGAAAUGCAUAGUAGACUUGCAUUAUUACCUUGAGUAGACAUAGUGUAUGUUGUAGUUUACAUUACUAUGCACCUUUAUAUACUCAUGACAUGAUACUAGCAUGAUAGUAGUUGUUGCAUGCAUUAUUAUCAUUGAUGGCAUGAUAGAGUAGUUGCAGUUCGUUUUCUAUAUAUCUAUCUAUCUCUCUAUCUGUGCCAGCUUAGACCUAGUGGGAAAACCGGCGGCGUCGGCGGCCGAACCCACUGGGAACUAUAUUUAUAUAGUUCUCACCCCGUGUGGUUUUGGGGUACAGGUACACACAGAGGCGAGCCGAGCGAGGACCGCGGCAAGGGCAUAGCGCCCUAAGUGAGCCUAGUUAGUAGCUUUUCCUUUAUGCAUUAGAGUACCCUCGUGUACUAGAUGAUGUUUUGGAUAGUUAUGGGAGGGCUACUUAUAUCUUGAAAAAAACAUGUACUUACAUUUUGGAAGAUGAAAAUGUAAUAUAUUCAAAUGAUGUAAAUGUUCAACGGUUGUAAUAGUUAGACUAUCUCUCUUUAUACACUUGUACAUUCACUUGUGGUUCUUGCUCUUAGUUAUAGUGCACUUGUGCGCAUCGUAUCGAUCAUGUAUGUUAUUUAAGCAUUCCCUGGGCGCUUAACUGUACAUGAUCUGGUUGCUUAGCUUUGGGCGGACAGGAAAGGUGCUGUCCGUUCGGCGGUCCGUCCGGCGCGCCCGAACCGUGCCAAAUUGGUAUUGGACUCGGGGCGGGGCGUGACACAAAGGGAAAGAAAUAGGCCUCUAAACUUUAUUUCUUCUAAUAAUACACUCAUGAUUUUGUCCAUUUAGUCAAGAUAUAUUAUUGAUUAUUUAACGAAAUCUCCAAUUCAAUCGACCAAAAUAACUCACAAAUUAUAGGAUAGUUAUUCAGUUCAUGUGAUUGCACUCCAUUAAAUUUUACAAUUAUCAUCUGUCCACACGUUUUCACAAAGUUUACAUCCAAAUUUAAUGAUCAUCCAAAACUCUGUGUAAGGUACCGGACUUCUAAAAUCAUGAAGUUACGGUGUACAUUUGGUUAGUGAGCCAUUAGAAAGGUUCCGGUGAAGUUCGGUGAAGUUCGGGAGCAUUCGGGCGAUUCGGUGCGCGUAGGCGCGGAAACGGAACCCGAAAGGCUAUGUUAGGCCAUGAGUUAAAUCCGGCAUUAGUGUGGAUGAAAAGAUGAAGAAAACAUGCUCGAAAACAUGUUUGGAGAGUCUCGGUUCGAUUUGAAACGAAUCGGAGGUCAAACGGACGAAAACGGAGCAAAACGGACCCCGAAAGCUGAAAAAGCUGAAAAUUUGGCUAAGUCUGGAAUGCUAUUUUUCUGGACAUUGGGGGACCGGUUCCUCAAGUCCAGAGACCGGUCCCAGCACCCGAAAAUGGCCCAGUUUGGGCUGUGUGUGACUUAUAUUGUUGAGGGACCUUUGUGCAAUUGUGCCAAGGGUAUAGAGAGGGUUGGGGGCUUAUUUCCUCUCCUUCUCCCUCACACUUUGUAACCUAAACUCUCCCUCUCUCUCUCUACAAAGAAAAGAAAGAGAAGAAGUAGAAGAGGAAAGGGAAGGAGAAGGUGGAGGAGAAGGCUUGGAGAAGGAGUUCUACUUCUUCUUCUUCCUCUUUUGGCCAUUGGAGAGGCUUGUUUGAGGUAAGCUUUACACCCUCUAAUGGUAGCUUCUAGUUUAUGGGUUUUUAAGCUUUAGAAAUGGGAUUUAAUGGUGAUUUAGAGAUUGUUAAUCUCAUUUGUUGCAAGAUCUAUAGCUUGAUGUUGCUCUUUGCAACAAUGAGGAGUUAGAGCUCCAAAUGAGAGCUUUAAUGGUAGAUCUCUAGGGCUUUGGUCUUAUGCUCUAGAAAUGGAUUUAUUAGCCUUCCUAGAUGCUAAUUAGAUGGAUUGUGUUUAGAUCCAGAGUUCUAAUGGUGGGUUUUUGUCUAAUUGCGACCUAGGGCUCCAAAAUGAGGUUUUAGCAAAUCUUAGGUUAUGAUCUAUUUUGAGUGGUCAGAAACCUAAUUGCCAUGUCUCCGAACGCGUAGGAAGCGACGGUUCGUCGAUUCGUCGAGCGGGUGCGACGUUCCGGCUGAAACAAGUGCUAGAAGGUCCGUUUUGGCCCGAGGAGCCGAGGCGACGUGCGAAGACCGCGAAGACAAGCUUUCUAACCUUUCGGCAUUACCAAAAGGUGGGGGAGUGCCAUCCCGAAGCAGUCGGGCUACUCUUUAUGUCUAAGUGCUAAGUUGACCUAAUUGCAUAUUGUGAUAUUGCAUUAUAGGGUGCUAAAUGUAAUUGUUACCUAUUCUUGCAUACUAAUAGAAUAGUGUAGAGUUGAGUUGCUUAACACCUAAAUCUAGUAUGCAUGAGAUUAACGUCAAAUGACUUGAGACCCUAUAAUGAAGUGAUAGUUGAUAGGAAGUGAACCUGCUUAUGUGAAUGAGAAUCUAGUAUGGUAUAACUAAUGUUUGAGAACAACAAACUUGACGAGUGGCAUCUAGUUAACAUUUAACUUGACGAGUGGCAUCUAGUUAACGUUGAACUUAGGAGAGAACUAGUUCCCAAGUGAUGUUGUCUAGAGUGGUAGGGUAUCCUCAGUGACGGGGAUUUGACCAUACUCAUAUGUCUGUUCAAAGCUUGGUGUGGUCGCUCCACACAAGCAGUGCACUCCGGAGUCGUCACAUGAUAGGGAUAGCCGUUUGGGUCCCGAGGGAUAGCCGUUUGGGUCCCGCAGACAGUCUUGGGCGAGUGAGCUGAUCCUCCCCAGGUGAGUUGGGUGAGUGAGUUGAUCCUCACCUAUGAGUUGAGAUUGGGUUGUCGUACCUAUGUUGAGAGUCGGGCGAGUGAGCGGAUCCUCCCCGUUGUGUUUGGAUUGUGAGUCGGGUGAGUGAGCAGAUCCUCCCCGUUGUGUUUAGAGUGCGAGUCGGUGAGUGAGCGGAUCCUCACCUAUGUGACUGAGUAGACGAGCAUAGUAGUAUGAGAUAGGCUACCUAUUAUGUUGCAGUUUAUACAUGUACUUCUGUUGAAAGCAUAGUAUCAUGAGAUAGGUUGCACAUUAUUAUGUAGUUCAUGCAUUCAUAGCAUUGGAUUGAGGCAUAGUUGGAUAUUAGCAUCGCUUUACAUUAUGCUUACCGUUACUGCUUUCAUAUAUAUCUACCUAUCUUUCCGUCUUCGUCUUCCUAUGCCUGCUUAGACCUAGUGGGUAGAUCGGCGGAGUCGGCGGCCGAACCCACUGGGAACUAUAUUCAUAUAGUUCUCACCCCGUGUGGUUUGGGGUACAGGUACUGUCACGCCCUGGGCUUCAGCGGAAGCUUAUCAGCAACGUGCACAGAUCCGCCGUGUACAUUUCUACCUCAAGAGUACACCAGGCGUCUACAAACAAUAUAGUGAAAUCAAGUGAAUCUAACCAGGUAAUCAGAGCACGACUUAACAUUAAAGUAAACUUAUACAGCUCGAAAUCUUAUUACAACUUAAACAGUAAAGAACAUUCUGUAACAGUCCCAAGGUACAACACUGAGCUAAAUUAACAGAAACUGGUAGUGGUUCAUCUAUUUAACGUCGAGAAAGCUCUAUUUGGCCGUUGACCCCUCGCCAGGAAUCCCUAACCUUUCCCGCUGUGGAAGGCUCUAUAAAACAACAAUAAAAAGAGGGCGUGAGAACUAUUAGACAAUAGUUCCCAGUGGGCAAUUACUGACUUCAGUGAAAUGCACCACUAGGCUAACCUAAGAAUGCUGUAAAAAAUAACUGAACAAGCAAGUAUGAAAUACAAGUAUGAAGAGUAAGUAUGAAUAUCAAUUCAUCAUAUAUGCUAAGGACAAUUUAAAGUCAUAUACUAGUUUGCAUGCAAAUAUUUCAUUACAUCAGGAUUAACUGAAUAUGUUUUGUAACUACAUCUUAUAUUAUUAAGAGUGUAACAUACUGUCACUACGUUAUCAGUUAAUCAAGAUGUCAAUCUGUAAGCCUGUUUUCAUUAAGUUACCUAGCCAAUGACAUAAAGUAGCCUUACUACUAUGUUUAUCUCAGAUUAAAAUAACUCAUGAUAACCCAAUUCACAGUAGACUUACACAAGGUAAAGUCAUAGCCGCGCCGUGCCUAAUGGCCCCGUGGUAGUAUACACUCCCCACAGCAAUCCACUUCGGCGCUCAAAUCCAAACACAAGUGAGCAAUCUGUCACUAAGCUACUCCGGAGUGCUGGGCUUGGGGGGCGCGACCCCCACAAGCGUGUGCGAAAGAGCGUAAUGGCAUACAAGCUGUAAUCCAUAGUACCAGUAUCACAACAUCAUCAUGUCCUUGACAUGGAAUCUCAACUCGACUCAGGGUCGACACUGUAGUACUCAAGUUACCUGUCACUCUCAACUACUUGUUGACAUAAUUCUCAUAAUAGCUAGUAUAACUUAAUAAGUUCAAACUUUACAUCAUAAUAGUAAUUCUAUCAGGCUAUACCUGUACAUUAACUUCUAGUCCUCUCACUACUCCUUAUUCAUAAGGAAAGUGGUUCAUUGAAGUCAUCUCUAAUGACUCAUGGCACAUUCUAGAGUUCAGCAUAACUUCCCGCUAUUUGGAGUAAACCACUAAUGUACAAUAGUUUCUACUUGAUCAUACCAGUCUAUUGUCAUGUUCGACUCUAGGUAUUCCAAGGUCUUAUUCAGAUUAUAACAUUCAUGUUACCAAUAUUUGAUAAAAGCAAUGACCAACUUGUCCAUAUAAGCAUGUGACAUUAUUAGACGUGGUAUGUUAAGAGUUCCAUUAAUCGAUACAAGUAACUCAAAAAUAUAUCCUUCACUUAGUAAUCCUGCAGAAUUAAAUGUCAUGCUCAUAAUUUUACAGUUAACAUAUCUGGAAGGAUGUGUACUUUACUUAUUUGCACUAUUACAUUCAUAACCUGAAUACAUGCUAAGUAAGCACAGUUUAUAUGAAUCCGGCAAUUUCAUAAUUCGUCCUUUACCAUAUACAGGUUUCAUGGUAUGCAAUCUAAUGUACAUUCUGCUGCAUAAUUUCAUCUCAAGAUCCUCAUCCCUUUGAUGUCUGGUAAAGUUAAAAGUCACCUCAAGCUUUCCACCAUUCCUUCCUCUUGAAGGGUGUCAGCUCUACGAGCUUAUACGAGCUAAUACAAGCUAUUCAUUUUAUGAACAUGCACAAAUGGAGCAAUUAUUCUAUAUGAAGUAAACAACUUCAAAGUUCUUCCACUAUUACUCAACGAUACUCAGCAUGAUAGGCGCAUUAAUAUAUGUCUUGAUUCCAAUAAGUAUACAUGCAUUCAUAUACAUAUGCAAUAACCUUGACUCAUAAGUCAAAGGAAACAUAGAGAAACUUACUCAUUUCAAGGAGGUCAAACCCACCUGUUUGCUGUCAACUUUUGUUGCUCCCAUAAUAGAAGUAAUCUAUUAUAGUGCUAGAGCUUGAAUCUCAAUUUUGAUUCAGGUUGGGACACCAAAUUCCAUCGUAGAAAGCUCUCUAAUUUCAGCUGAACAAGAUUAGAUAGCCUGCUGCAAGUUAGUAUCAAAACGGCACCAAUAUACAUCUCAAAUUGUAUAGUAGAAACCAGAAUUUCACCUAGGUUUAGCUUAAUGCUAAUCCUUUACUUUAACAUCAGUUGAAGCAUCCCGAUUCCAGCUCUCAAUGGUCACUAAUUCAUCUCAAAGAGGCUUAAUCUCCUGCUGAAUUGGUAUAAAAACUGUUCCAAAGUUACAGCUAAUCCAAUCAAUUAAAGAACUAGUGGGUAAUAUACCUUCCAAUGGCUUUAGUUCAGUUCUAAAAUAGGUAAACAUAGGUCAAGCCAGCUUCAGAAAUCAUCCCAAGUUCAGAUAAGAUGUUCACAUUUUCUGCUGGAACUAACCACCAAUUCAGCACCAAUUACUAAUACUACUAUUACUAUUUCAGCAUUAGAAUAGAGGAAGUAGCCAUUUAAUCACCUUCCCAUCAUCACCUCAGCUUUUCUUUAGCUCAGGAUCCAUGAUUCACCCUCAGAGUUUAUUGCCAAUACCGUCAAAACCAGGCGCAAGGUUCAUCAAGCUUCCUGCGGUGACCUCGCUGCAAAACAGUUCCCAAAACUGCAUCAACAUACACCCUACCAUAUUCCAACAGGGAAGAAAGUAACUAGUUGAUCUUCUCAAACUCAUAACUCAGCUCCAACUGAGUUAGGGUACUAUAAAAUACCCUAAAUAUCUACCAAAUCAUUCUCUCAACCAGCUGUAAACAAGAGAUUAAGAACUCACCUCAUCUUUAUUCCAUAGCAUCAAUUAAGGGAAAGUUGAGUACUUUACCUUACUCAGCUAUGAUCCCUAUUUCUAUUGAGUUAAGGCUGUGAAUACCCUCUCCCAAGAUCAUUUCCCUUCCUCUCCAAAGCUGCUCCAAGUUCUCCAAAUCAGUAAACACCAAAGAGAGGGAAAGAAAUCAGCUCCAAAACCUUGCUUCCUUGUAGAGAGAGAAAAACUCUAGAGAGAGAGAAAGAGAGGCAGCUCCCCCUGCUUCUCAAAGCUUCCAGCUGAUAAGAACAAGCUAGGGGUCGAGCUGAGCUGAUAAGGAUCAGUUAGGGAAGUGAAAAGACCGAAAAAACCCUGCUGCCACGUAACUGCUGUGUUGGUGCUUGCUGUACCGGUACAGCAUCAACCCUGUACCGGUACACAUUGCAAAAUCUGCUCAAUAGGCAGUAGCAAUGCACUUCGUCAUUCCCUGCCAUUAACUCACUCUCAUACUUGUCCACUACCCUCUCUAAACCCAUUAGAACAUGUAGGAUAGUUCCAUUUGUUAUCCCCACUCGUCAGACUUCAUAAUCAGUCAAAUUUAAAUAUCCCCUUUGAACUUCGCACUUCCAUGUCACAAGAGCAACGCACUUUUACCCUUCCGGCUGUUUAAUCACUCUUAUAACUAGUCAAGGACCCCCUUGCCAAUCUUUAAAAAAUGUGAGUUAGCUCCAGAUACCAACCCCACAUUCGAAUUUCACAAUUAACCAAAUUCGGGGUAUACAAAUUUGAUAGUGCAUUUGUGAUGCGCUUUUCCACUUCUGGCCUCUUGCUUGCUUUAGUAACUUACUGGAAACCUCUCAUAAUCCUUCAGAGAUCGUAGAAUAGUUCCAACUACUAUUCUACCACUUGAGCUACGCAAUUCGCCCCAAAGUUCAGUGUAUUACAGGUACACACGAGAGAUCUCCGGCCGAGGACCGCGGUAAGGGCUUAGCGCCCUAGUAUUUGUAGUAGUUACUUUCCUACUUGCAUUAGAGCUACCUAUACCUUUUGAGAGUAGAUGAUGUAUAGGUGUGAGGCUAUUUUGGAAAUUGUAAGCUUUAAGUUCAUGAUGUAUUAUGGAAGCUUUAAUUGUAGUUAAAUGUAUUAAAGUUGAAUGGAUGUAAUAGCUAGUUAUUUCUCUCUUUUAUUCACUUGUUCACUACUUGUGAUGCUUGCUCCUUAUAUGUUUAGCACUGGUUGUGCUCUCGCUAUUGUUGGAUUGUGUAUGUUAUCAAGUUGUUUUCCUGGGCACUUGUUGUACACAAUCUCGUCGCUUUAGCCUUGGGCGGACAGGGGAGGUGCUGUCCGUUCGGCGGUCCGCCCGGCGCGCCCGAACUGGGCCAAAUGGGUUUCGGCUUCGGGGUAGAGCGGGGGCGUGACACUCUGGGCCUAUUGAGACAGUGGCAAAUUGCAAUUAAAAAUCGAUGCAACUUUUUAAGCCAAAAUGCAAUAGGAUUGCAGGCUAAAGUGCAAAGAGAUUUUUGUAAUUUAGCCCAAAAUUAAAUUAAAUUAACAGGGCGUCAAUCAAAAGAAAAUAAAGUUCAAGGGCCAAUUUCAAGAUUGUUUAUAAUUGAGGUGGUCUUCAUACACUUUUACCCUUAAUUUUUAUUUUAUAUUAAUUUUUUUUUCUACAUUGUAUAGAAGAUGGUAGCUUUUCACUGGGAAGUUUUGCCAAAAAACUUUCUACAGUAGACAACGCUUGUAUGGCAGAAUUAGCCAAACAAUAUAGACCUUUUCUUUCCCAGCACCACGCUUCUGCAACCAAAGUACACCCUACAGCCAAGUCAAGCAAACCCUAUCUCUUGCAUCUUUAGAGAGCUCAAAUCCAAGGUGGUUUUGUAAAUUUGAAUGGACUACCAUAAGAAAUCAGUACUAGAGGCACUACAUAACAUUUAGUAGCUUUUUAUUGGGCUCUAUUUUCCCAAUGAUAGUAGAUUGGCUCAUUAUAAAACAUCAUAAUUCAUCAAAUAGCUAAUUGUAGACAAACAGCCAGGAUACUCUUUUAUAGAACCCAGCUACUAUCCUUUUAGGGGGACGGAGGCCUUCGUCCUCCUAAGUAGUUUUAGAUGAUAGGGAUCCCGAAUCGAUGAUCAGAACCGUUAAAGUUGAUCUAGAGUAUUUAAAGUGUCUAAAACCAAAUUUCAUGAAUUUUAAAAUUAUUUACGUAUUGAUCAAAGGAUCACAAAAUCGACAGUUUUUUAUGGCCUAUAUGAGCCGUUUGCUUGUUUAACAGCGUAAAACAAUCCAAACAGCUUGAAUUUUUGGUAGAAAAUUUUUUAUAUUAUUUAGAAAACGUUUGGUAACUCUGAUCAUGAAUUGAAAAAGUCUAACAUUUAUGUUCACAAGGUUAUUUGUUUUCUACUGUUUAUUUUUCGACUCUUCAAUGAAUUUGAUAACGAAUUUUAAAAUUUAUGGAAUUUAGUUUCUAAAUGUUAUAAAUACUCUGUUCCGAUCAUCGCGACUUAGGAGGACGAAACCCUCCGUCAUCCUAAAAGGAUAGUAGCUGGACUCCUCCUUUAUAAUACUAUAGAAGGACCAUAUUCAUUAGUCUAUUCAAUAAGACGAAAAAAGUAAUGACAACAUCAUUUUGAAUUUAGAAAAUGUUAGGUUAGAAAUUUUUUUAAAUGUAGAUUAAUAAAAGAAGCAAAAUAUGCAUCACUAAUGUCCACAAUAUAUGUUUAGACUUUAAACUAUCUGAAAUGACACAAAAGUGGAGAUAACAAGACAUACCAUAUCCCAAAAUUAUGGAGCAAAUUAGAAAACCUAGUAAAGAGAAAUCCAUCUUAUAGAAUAUCUCCAUUAAAAUGAUGCAUCCUCCUGAAACCAGUAAGUGCCUUGGAGAAGAGAAAACAAGGUGCAAUCUGCAAGCAAAUCCCAUGGAAGUUAAAGCCCCAAAACAUCUAAAUUUUAAAAGAUGCAGAAGAAAAUAAUUAGUAGAAAAUCAAAAAACAAGGCAAAGAUCGACCUAAAUUUCUUGAUUUUACAGGUUUCCUAGAGAUGCCCUUUACGAUUUUGGUUCCAGUUGGAGAGAUUACUGGACAAUGAUGCCCUUUAGGGCAUAUUUGGUUUAGGUUAUCCUGUCAUGAUUACAGUCAAUUUUGCCAGGAUCACUGCAUUUUUGUUCAUUUAGUAUGUAAUCUGAUCGAUAAUGUAACAUUACAAAUGGUGCAGAUUACUCCGAAAAUAUUAUCGAGCGAGGGGUGGUAUCUAUCUUACUGAUGGAAAGUUAUCUUACAUGUUAUAUAAAAUUACAAGUUUACCCCUCCAACCCUUCCACACCCCUUCAAUGUGUCAUUUCUAAAAUUUUUGUUUAAAAUUUUCAAUUAUCAAAUUUUAAAUUUUAAAUUUAAAUUUUAAAUUGUCAAAUUUUAGAUUUAAAUUUUUAAAUUUUUAAUUUCAAAUUCUAAAUUUCAAUUUUAUAUUUUAAAUUGUAAAAUUACAAAUUUCAAAUUUAUAUUUCAAAUUCUAAAUUUUAAAUUUCAACUUAAAACUUAAAUUUAAAAUUUUAAAAUCUAUAAUUUAUAAUUUAAAUUUGAAAUUUAAAAUUUUAGAAUUUUAAAUUUUAAACAUCAAAUUUAUAUUUUUAAAUAUAAAUUUUAAAUUUAGAUUUUAAAUUUUAAACAUCAAAUUUAUAUUUUUAAUUCUAAAUUUUAAAUUUAGAUUUUAAAUUUUAAAUUUAAAUUUAAAUUUAAAUUUAAAUUUAAAUUUUUAAAUUUAUAAGUUCAUAUUUAUAUUUUAAAUUAAAAUAUUAAAUUUUAUAUUUUUGUUUAGAUUUAAAAUUUUGAAUUUUAAAUUUAAAAUUCAAAUUCAAAUUCAAAUUUUAAAUUAUUUGAAAAAAAAUUUGUAAAAAAUUAUUACUUGUAAAGAGUAAAAAUUUUUUGCCAAAUAUGACUAGGGCGCAUUUUGUUCAAGUUAUGUAAUAUUACAAAGUAUUUCGAUAUAUCCAGGUAUCCUGGAUUUCUAAAUAAGAAUACUACUAAUGCUGCAUUAGCGCGUUUGGUUUAAUGCAGUAAUAUAAUACUGGAUUGCAGUGUUUAUAGCAUUACUAUAUUUGGUCCAGUCUAUAAAAUUUAGUAAUCUUGACAAUAAAGUAUAAUCUAUUCCAAAAUUGACCUUAUAGCUAUUUUUGGCAAACUUUUUUUUACUCUUUACAAAUAAUUUUUUUUAUUAAAUUUUAUUUUAAAUAAUUUAAAUUUUUUCAAAUUUUAAAUUUGAUCAAAAAUAUAAAAUUUAAUAUUUUAAUUUAAAAUUAUAAAUAUGAAAUUUAUAAAUUUAAAUUUUAAAAUUUUAAGAUAAAUUUAAAUUUAAAAUUUAAAAUUUAAAAUCUAAAUUUAAAAUUUAGAAUUUUAAAUAAAAUUUUGAAUUUUAAAUUUUAAAUUUUAAAUUUUAAAAUUUGAAAUUUGAAGUUUAAAAAUUUAAAAUUAAAAUUUAAAAUUUAAAAUUUGAAAAUUAAAAAUUCAAAUUCAAAUUUUAAAUUUUAAAUUUGACAAUUCAAAAUUUUAAAUUAACAUUUUUAAAAUGACAUAUUGAAAAUUUUUUGGGAGUUGGAGGGGUGAACUUGUAAUUUUAUAUAACAUGCAAAAUUAGCCGCUUUCAGUAAUCCAAGAUACACACCCCCCCUGUAAUAUUUUCGGUGUAAUCUUACACCUUCUGUAAUGUUACAAUACCGAACAGAUUAGAUACCGAAUUAACCAAAUGUAGUAAUACUGGCAAGAUUGCCUGUAAUCCUACCAGAAUAACCCAAACCAAACAAAUCCUAAGGGCAAUUUUGGAAUACACUACAUUUUAUUGUUAGGGUUACUGAAUUUUAUAAAAUGAACCAAAUAUAGUAAUUCUAUAUAUACUGUAAUCCAACAUUAUAUUACUACAUUAAACCAAGCACAGUAAUACAGCAUCAGCAGUAAUCUGAUUUAGAAAUCUCAGAUAUAUGGUUAUGACGAAAUAACCUGUAAUGCUACAUAACGCGAACCAAAUGUGUCCUUAAAUGAUUUUGGUUCCUAUUAGAAAGGUUACUUUCUCAGUGUGGCCAUUAGGUUUGUGCCAAAUCCCACAUAUUUCCUCAUUUCUUCUGUAUUUAUUUCUCAACUAAUUAGAAAACUUAUUUUAUUCGAAAAAAGUCUUAAUGUACUGUAAUAAUUAGCCAUUCAUCAUAAUAAUGGACUAUAUUCUGUUAACUAUACUUUUUGACUUUUCUUAGUUGCAUAUUGGAGUUUCUCAUACAUUUCAAGGCGUCCUACUAUUUAC
rnacentral:lncRNA from 1 species